rnacentral:rRNA from 1 species
UACGUAGGGGGCAAGCGUUGUCCGGAAUCAUUGGGCGUAAAGAGCGUGUAGGCGGCUUGGUAAGUCCGCUGUGAAAGUCCAGGGCUCAACCCUGGAAAGCCGGUGGAAACUGUCAAGCUUGAGUCCGGAAGAGGCGAGUAGAAUUCCUGGUGUAGCGGUGAAAUGCGCAGAUAUCAGGAGGAACACCAAUGGCGAAGGCAGCUCGCUGGGACGGUACUGACGCUGAGACGCGAAAGCGUGGGGAGCAAACAGG